UUUUUUCUUAAUUAUUUCUAUUUUAUUUAUUGAAAAUAUAGUUAUUUCUGUUUUAUUUAUCGAAAAUACUACUAGUUCUAUUGUAUCUUCAGUAUUUUUUAUAUUUUCUAACUUUUGUGUAAUUUUUUCACUUCCUUUUAUCCAAUCAGUUUUCUUUCUUAUUUUAUUAUUAACUCUUUUUGCUCUUACUUUCUGUUUACAUGGUGUUGUAAACCACCAGUCUGUUUUGGUUAUUAUAUGUGGGUAUAAUUUAUCUAAGAAUGACAUUCCUAAAAGUAUAUCUUUUGAUGUUAAUUCAUAAUUAUAAAUUUCUUCUAUUGUUAAUAUCUUAUCCCAUACUUGUAUUUUUACACUCUUAGCUUUAUAAGUAAUUAAAC
rnacentral:lncRNA from 1 species